UUAUGCUUGUUCCUCUUAGGAGUGGUGUAAGGCUUCUUCUUCCUUUUCUUAGCACCACCCUGAAGUCUCAAUACUAGAUGAAGAAUGGGCUCGUUUUGAAUGUUGCAGUCAGAUAAAGUACAUCCAUCUUCCAGCAGCUUACCAGCAAAGUUUAGUCUUUGCUGAUCAGGAGGAAUUCCUUCCUUAUCCUGGAUCUUGGCCUUUACAUUUUCUAUAGUAUCCGAGGGUUCAACAUUGAACCCUUGGAUACUAUGG